GAAAUGCGAUACGUAAUGUGAAUUGCAGAAUUCAGUGAAUCAUCGAAUCUUUGAACGCACCUUGCGCCCCUUGGCAUUCCGAGGGGCACACCCGUUUGAGUGUCGUGAAUAUCCUCAACCUUCUCUAUUGGAGAAGGCUUGGACUUUGGAGGCUUUUGCUGGCCUCUCUUGAAGCCAGCUCCUCUUAAACGCAUUAGCGGGGGUUUCCUUUUGGUCAAUCCUUGACGUGAUAAGAUAUUUUCUACGUUUGGGGCUUGGCUUUUUGAGACCCGCUUCUAAUGGUCUCAUAGAGACGCUUAAUGAACCCUUUGACCUCAAAUCGGGUGAGACUACCCGCUGAACUUAA
rnacentral:rRNA from 1 species